rnacentral:rRNA from 1 species
AAUGAACGCUGGCGGCGCGCCUAAUACAUGCAAGUCGAGCGAGAAGACGUAGCAAUACGUUUGUAAAGCGGCGAACGGGUGAGGAAUACAUGGGUAACCUACCCUCGAGUGGGGAAUAACUAGCCGAAAGGUUAGCUAAUACCGCGUACGCUCCUUGGACUUCGGUUCAGGGAGGAAAGCGAUACCGUGGGUAUCGCGCUCUUGGUUGGGCUCAUGUCCUAUCAGCUUGUUGGUGAGGUAACGGCUCACCAAGGCUUCGACGGGUAGCUGGUCUGAGAGGACGAUCAGCCACACUGGCACUGCGACACGGGCCAGACUCCUACGGGAGGCAGCAGUAAGGAAUAUUGCGCAAUGGGCGAAAGCCUGACGCAGCGACGCCGCGUGGGGGAUGAAGGUCUUCGG